rnacentral:rRNA from 1 species
AACUGGGAUUAAUACGCAAUAGGUCAAAGCAUCUGGAAUGAGCUUUGGCUGAAAGGAAUGGGCAAGCACGUUUUGCCCGUUUGCUCCAAGAUGGGGCUGCGGCCGAUCAGGUUGUUGGCGGGGUAAUGGCCCACCAAGCCUAUAACCGGUACGGGCUUUGAGAGAAGGAGCCCGGAGAUGGACACUGAGAUAAGGGUCCAGGUCCUACGGGGCGCAGCAGGCGCGAAACCUUCACAAUGUGCGAAAGCACGAUGAGGUUACUUCGAGUGCCACCUGCUGAGGGUGGCUUUUCCCGAGUCUAGAAAGCUCGGAGAAUAAGGGGAGGGCAAGUCUGGUGUCAGCCGCCGCGGUAAUACCAGCUCCCCGAGUGGUCGGGACUUUUAUUGGGCCUAAAGCAUCCGUAGCCGGUUCUGCAAGUCUUCUGUUAAAUCUAACGGCUCAACCGUUAGGCUGCAAGAGAUACUGCUGGACUAGGAGGCGGGAGAGGUGGACGGUACUUAGUGGGUAGGGGUAAAAUCCUUUGAUCCACGAAAGACCACCAGUGGCGAAGGCGGUCCACCAGAACGCGCUCGACGGUGAGGGAUGAAAGCUGGGGGAGCGAACCGGAUUAGAUACCCGGGUAGUCCCAGCUGUAAACGAUGCGAGCUAGGUGAUGGGAAGGUUAUGUGCCAUCCCGGUGCCGCAGGGAAGCCGUUA